rnacentral:lncRNA from 1 species
CUGUGCUGCAGGCCCAGAGCUGUUCACCUCCCUCUUUCAUCUUCUUUCCCUACGUGCACUUGAGGUUCCCGAUCCCACUUUAAUUCUUCCACUAACAACCUUGGAGUAGGUUCGAUUCCCAUUCACAGAUGAGGAAUCCAAGACUUUGAACGUUUCUGUCCUGCAAGCUGGGAUUUUGAACCCAGGACGCUUGGGUGCAGGGACCCGUGCCUAGCGAUGACACCGCUGCUGCGUUCAGCUUGCCCAUCCUGCCCUGUCUUCACAGGGGACCACCGAUGGAUGGGCAGGCAGGGAUGCUGGAAGCUUCCAGGUGGAUCCAAAAGAUGUCACAGGCUCCCUUGCACACCUGCUCACUGAAGCCUCGCCAGGCGCUGGAAUCCAGGCACACAGCACAGGCCCUGAACUGUCUCCAGGUCUCCAACACUGAGUCACAUGGAUGGAGUCAAGGACAGGCCCAGGGUGUGGCCCCAGCAAGGCAAGGGUGGAGCCCUACCUUGAGUGGCGCAUGCCAUACUGGGGGACAGGGUAUAGGACCUUCCAACUCAGGAUUCAGGUGCACUUUUCCUCUUUGUUUUAUGACAGGUGCAUUUUUGUUUUGUCUUGCUUUUGCUUUUAUUUUCAACUGAUAUAUAAAAAAACCAUGUUUUUUUAG